rnacentral:rRNA from 1 species
GACGGGGGGUCCUAGCGUUGUUCGGAAUUACUGGGCGUAAAGCGUGUGUAGGCGGCCACGUAAGUCGGAUGUGAAAGCCCUGGGCUCAACCCAGGAAGUGCACUCGAUACUGCGUGGCUAGAGUACUGGAGAGGUUGGUGGAAUUCUCGGUGUAGAGGUGAAAUUCGUAGAUAUCGAGAGGAACACCGGUGGCGAAGGCGGCCAACUGGACAGAUACUGACGCUGAGACACGAAAGCGUGGGGAGCAAACAGG